GACGAACGCUGGCGGCGUGCCUAAUACAUGCAAGUCGAACGCAGUGGGGACGGGUGAGUAACACGUGGGUAACCUCCCAUCAGAGGGGAUAACACUUGGAAACAGGUGCUAAACCGAUAUGGAAGGAUGGACCGGCGGUGCAUUAGCUAGUUGGUGAGGUAACGGCGAACAAAGGCCAAGAUGCAUAGCCGACCUGUGUGUGUGAUCGGCCACACUGGGACUGAGACACGGCCCAGAAUCCUACGGGAGGCAGGAGUAGGGAAUCUUCGGCAAUGGACGAAAGUCUGACCGAGCAACGCCGCGUUAGUGAAGAAGGUUUUCGGAUCGUAAAACUCUGUUGUUAGAGAAGCGGUAUCUAACCAGAAAGCCACGGCUAACUACGUGCCAGCAGCCGCGGUAAUAC
rnacentral:rRNA from 1 species